GAUGAACGCUGGCGGCGUGCCUAAUACAUGCAAGUCGAGCGAACGGACGAGAAGCUUGCUUUUCUGAUGUUAGCGGCGGACGGGUGAGUAACACGUGGAUAACCUACCUAUAAGACUGGGAUAACUUCGGGAAACCGGAGCUAAUACCGGAUAAUAUUUUGAACCGCAUGGUUCAAAAGUGAAAGACGGUCUCGCUGUCACUUAUAGAUGGAUCCGCGCUGCAUUAGCUAGUUGGUAAGGUAACGGCUUACCAAGGCAACGAUGCAUAGCCGACCUGAGAGGGUGAUCGGCCACACUAGAACUGAGACACGGUCCGGACUCCUACGGGAGGCAGCAGUAGGGAAUCUUCCGCAAUGGGCGAAAGCCUGACGGAGCAACGCCGCGUGAGUGAUGAAGGUCUUCGGAUCGUAAAACUCUGUUAUUAGGGAAGAACAUAUGUGUAAGUAACUGUGCACAUCUUGACGGUACCUAAUCAGAAAGCCACGGCUAACUACGUG
rnacentral:rRNA from 1 species